CAAUAGCGUAUAUUAAAGUUGUUGCAGUUAAAAAGCUCGUAGUUGGAUUUCGGGGUGGCCUGCCUGGUCCACCGCAAGGUGAGUACUGGUCAGCCGCCCUUCCUCUCGAAAGCCCCGACUGCUCUUCAUUGCAGUGGUCGGGUAGUCCGGGACGUUUACUUUGAAAAAAUUAGAGUGUUCAAGGCAGGCUCUCGCCUGAAUACAUUAGCAUGGAAUAAUGGAAGAGGACCUCGGUCUUAUUUUGUUGGUUUCUAGGGCCGAAGUAAUGAUUAAGAGGGACAGUUGGGGGCAUUCGUAUUUAAUUGUCAGAGGUGAAAUUCUUGGAUUUAUGAAAGACGAACUAGUGCGAAAGCAUUUGCCAAGGAUGUUUUCAUUAA
rnacentral:rRNA from 1 species